CAAUAGCGUAUAUUUAAGUUGUUGCAGUUAAAAAGCUCGUAGUUGGAUUUCGGAUGGGACUUGCCGGUCCGUCGUUUCGAUGUGCACUGGCCAGUCCUAUCUUGUUGUCGGGGACUAGCUCCUGGGCUUCACUGUCCGGGACUAGGAGCUGACGAGGUUACUUUGAGUAAAUUAGAGUGUUCAAAGCAAGCCUACGCUCUGAAUACAUUAGCAUGGAAUAACACGAUAGGACUCUGGCUUAUCUUGUUGGUCUGUGAGACCAGAGUAAUGAUUAAGAGGGACAGUCGGGGGCAUUCGUAUUUCAUUGUCAGAGGUGAAAUUCUUGGAUUUAUGAAAGACGAACUUCUGCGAAAGCAUUUGUCAAGGAUGUUUUCAUUUA
rnacentral:rRNA from 1 species